AUGGUGUAUUAUCCGCUCGCCGCCGCCGCGCGCUGCCACUGCCCGCCCCUCCUCCUCCCCCGCCGCGCCCCGCCGGCGACGGCGGCCACCCCGCUCCGUCGCCGCCCCCUCCAGCUCCACCCCCUCACAUCCUCGCCCGGACCGCGGACCCGUGGCCGCCGCCACGCCGUCGACCCCGAGGACGACGACGGCUUCCUCACCCUCGACCUGGACGACCUCGAGGGGUUCGCCGACGGGGACGCGGAGGAGGGGCCGUCGCCGUGGGAGGGGGCCGUGGUGUACCGGCGCGACGCGGCGGCGCAGCACGUCGAGUACGCCACCACCCUGGAGCGCCUCGGCCUGGCCGACCUCUCGUCCCCGCACUCCCGCGCGCGCGCCGCCGCCAUGGGCAUCACGCCCCCCUCCAAGCCGCGGCGCGGCGCCGGGGACGCGGCCGCGACGACGCCCGUGCUCGUCUCCGUCGACGUCGCCCGGCGCCGCGGCCGGCUCCGGCUCGACGGCAUCCUGCGCACCGUCAUCACCCUCGGCUGCUACCGGUGUGCUGAGCCAGCUGCCGAAGGCGUAUUUGCGAAUUUCUCUCUCCUGCUGACAGAAGACCCGGUGGAGGAACCUGACGUGGUCGACCUCGGCACCAUAUACGAAGAAGACAGAACCAAAUUCCCUUCGAUAACCGGCAGCGAGGACGAGAACGAUGAAGAUAUAGACUGGGAUGACCGCCUGCAUUUCCCGGCCGGGGAGAAGGAGAUCGACAUCUCGAAGAACCUUCGGGACAUCAUCCACCUGGAGAUAACGCUGGACGCCUUCUGCAGCAGCACCUGCAAGGGCCUGUGCCUCGUCUGCGGCGCGAACCUCAACACGAGCAGCUGCAGCUGCAGCACGGAGGAGCCGCAGGCCAAGGACGCCAGGCGUCCGGGAACCCUCAAAGACCUGCUGAAGCCUAUGCAGAGAAGAUUAUGA
rnacentral:rRNA from 1 species